rnacentral:rRNA from 1 species
UGCGUAGGCGGAUUAAUAAGUCAGUGGUGAAAUCUUUCGGCUCAACCGAGAAACUGCCAUUGAUACUGUUAAUCUUGAGUUCGGUUGAGGUAGACGGAAUGUGUAAUGUAGCGGUGAAAUGCUUAGAUAUUACACAGAACACCAAUUGCGUAGGCAGCUUACUAGACCGACACUGACGCUGAGGCACGAAAGCGUGGGGAGCGAACAGGAUUAGAUACCCUGGUAGUCC